UUUCUUGAAACCCACCUGAAUAGAAAUGGAUAACCUUGAAGAGAGAGAAAGGAAUAUGUGGAACUUGUCACUUAUGUUAUGGAGGAUCAGCCGUAGCUCAUGUUGUUGCUUUGUCCUAGCUGCCUGCCAAUGUGAUGUUUUGAUACUGCUACAUACAGUACAUCUGUGCUGUGCAUGAUGCUUAUUAGAUUUGUUUGGUUUAGCAAACAUCAGAAGAAAAAAAAUCACAUCCAUAUUACAGUCUAGUUCACCGAGGGGAGUUGAUAGCUUGAUGCCCUUCCUCAACUUAUGACUUCACUGCAGACAAUAGACAAGUCAAUUAAAACCUGUAAAGGAACAGGGGGGAAAGUAUUUGGUUAGCUCAUUUUUGUUCUCUGAUUUGUCAUUUGUCAAUGAGCACAAGCCUGAAUCAGUUUAAACAUUUUAAACACUAGUUAGAUUGAAGUAUUUUAGUCCGCUCUAUUCAACACGUCACCCUCCGUACUAUAUUAUUCUGUGGUGGUCAAGUACAUUUCCCAGAGAGAAUAGGAACAUGUAUCCUCCCAGUUCUCCAAUGAUAUUGAAGGAUUCACUUUUCCAUAACGUCAGACAUUUUUUUUCAUUGCUUGUGCUAUUGUGAUGACUGCUUUAUUUUUCUGCCUCCUGAUUUUGAAAGUAUAGCUGCAGUUGAAAGGGAUUAUUGUAGGCCUGCAUUUGAUGAUACAUACAUUGGGACAUAGGUUUUUUUGAGGGGGAUGUUUACUGAUAAUGUAACUAAUUUCUGUAAAAUGUGUAUGUAAAAGGAAAAUGGUUUAUAAUAUUAAUAAACAAUGUAAAAAGUGUUUUGAGUAGUGUAUUGUAUGAACUUGUGAAAAAUGUGUUAUGAUUACUGAUAUGACUGGGUGUUGAGUUGUAAACAGCUGCAACUAUUUAACAGGUAUUAUGUAGACUACUCUAUUUAGUAUUUAUUAGAAUCCCCAUUAGUUAUAGCCUAAGCAGCCAACAGUGCAUGUGCGCUAAAUCUGCACUAGGCUGGAUGUGCCCAGUAAUACACUCGUGUUCCCCAUGGACCGGCUCAAACAGAAAGCAUCCUCCAUUCAGGCUGCAAAUUUCCCUCAACGAGUUUUAAUUUUGAGAAGGUGGAAAAAACGGGGGAAACAUGCGUAGGCCUACUUUCUUUAUGCACCACCAUUUUUGAAUUUUCUGACAACGUAGAAUGUUGUAUACAUUUGGCUUAACACGGUGUGCUACAUCCUAAAUUGUCCAAAAAUACGAAACCGGUGUUUCAUAAAGAAAGUACGCAUAUUUUCCGCAUUUUUUCCCCACCCGGUCGCCAUUAAAUCUAGUCAAAAGAGGAAAAUGAUGACUUUUACAGACUGAAUGGAGGAUGCUUUAUAUAUGAGCCGGUCCACGGGGGACACGAGUGUAGGUAUUACCGGGAAUUCACAUCAA
rnacentral:lncRNA from 8 species